UACAGAGGUCUCAAGCGUUGUUCGGAAUUACUGGGCGUAAAGCGCACGUAGGCGGCUUUGCAAGUUAGAGGUGAAAGUCCGGGGCUCAACUCCGGAAUUGCCUUUAAAACUGCAUCGCUAGAAUUGUGGAGAGGUAAGUGGAAUUCCGAGUGUAGAGGUGAAAUUCGUAGAUAUUCGGAAGAACACCAGUGGCGAAGGCGACUUACUGGACACAUAUUGACGCUGAGGUGCGAAAGCGUGGGGAGCAAACAGG
rnacentral:rRNA from 1 species